AUGACGCGAAUCCUCCAUUGUUCAGUACUUACCCCCAAAUCGACGAACAGGUCUCCAACUUUUCCCUCUCUUUCAUUUUCAUUUUUGAACAGCGCCUCUCUUUCCCUCUCUUUCUCUGAAGGUCUGAAGGUCUCCCAACUGCGAUUUCGAACCGGUGUAGGUCUCCCACCUCCGAGUCGCAUGAAUUUGAAGAUCACCGUAGCUUUAUUCACUCCGAUUGCAGUGAGGUUUUGCAAUAAUGAAAAAAAUUGUAUCUAAUAAGUCACUAAGCCUACCACCAGAGCAAUUACUGGUACUACAUGUUCAUCGUCAUCAACAUCAUCUUCUAGCGAUUCACAAUCUCUUGAGAUUUAUGAGGUAUCUAUCUUCAUCUCCGUUGUAAUAGUGUUUGUAUGCAUUAUAGCAGAGACUCCUUAGUAUACAUUGUAGUAGAAUCAUAUGUAGCUAAUUGAAAUAUCUAUCAACAUCAAUUAAUAAGUCUUUCGUCAAAAUGAUUGUGAGAAAGAAGAUUCAUUUUAGUUGGCUUUUUGCAUUUGCAUUUUGCUUAGUUUUUCAUUUCAAAUAUAAUGCACUCAAGGUGUUUGAAAAUAUUACUACUAGAAAUAAUUAAGCAAAAACAAGAAACUUUAAACACAAAUUUUUAUUUCUGUUAGAACUUGCUCUCGAGACUCCUUAGUAUACCAUAUAGAAUAUGUGUGUGUAUAUAUAUCUACUUAGUAUCUGAAGUGUUUCUUCUCACGUUAUGUUGUCAUGAUCGAAAAGGGCUUUUACAUGGUAAAAUCUUUUAGCUAAUUUACUUAUCUAAAUCUCUUUCUAGCUUAUAAGUAAAGUAUUGUCUCUUGAUAUUAUGGCUUAGACUUGUAUGAUUAUCAUGUUGCUUUGUAACUUAAUAGAUCUCCGGUUUUAGUAAUUGCCAAGAUAUAAGCUCUACCACCAAAUUCUCUUACAUGUUCUUGUUAUAUGAUUUAUGUCUUCAAUUUACUAUCAAUAUUUUAUUGUCUAUUUUUGUGCUUUAGUAUCUGUGAGAAUUGUGGCUUGGUAGCUCCCUGUCCUGGAAAAGGUGAAAUUCUUUUGCUUUCCCUCACCAACAAAUCGGGUCCUUAAUUUUCUAGUUCUCUACAUCUGUUCCUCCUUAUCUACAUCUUAAUUAGAAUUACCUUGUGAUUUUAAAAGGCUGAUUGAUUUUAAAAUUUUCUUAUGAUAGCUUAAUCUAGUUCUGGUGAUUUUGUGAUUUUGUGAUUCAUUGUCAUAGUCAUUUUUAAUUUAUUUAUGUAUGUGUAAUACUAUAGGACUUGCUCUGCUCCUAAUCCUAAUCAUGUAGAGAUGUUUUUGUUGUUUGUCUUCAGACUCUGCCUUAUUUCUUUUUAAUAAAUUUCUGAUUUUAAUAAAAUGCACACAUAUAUAUAUAUAUAUGAACAAGUGUUAAUAAUUCAUUGGUCAUAUAUGUUUUGAUAGGCCUUAGCACAAGAAUCUCUUUUUCUAUGGUUUAUUCAUUACAGUUUGCAAUUUCAAUUUGAGGUAUGAAACAGUUUCCAAUUCAAGUGUGUUUAUUUUAUUUUGUUUGGUUAUAUUAUGUAAUGAUUUGUUUAUUUCAUGGAUGUUCCAAUUUCACAAUUUUUUUAAAAUAUGUGAACCCAUACCCAGCUUAGGGAAAAAUGAACACUGCCAUAUAUGUGUUCUUCUUUAAAUGCUAAAUAUAUUUAUGUUUUCAUUCUUUUUCAGUUUUAUUUAUUGUAAGUAUAACAUAUAAAGUUAUAGGUCAUUGAAUACUGCACGCAUCCUUUGGGAAAUUCUGGUGCUGAAGGUCGUCGAGCCCUUAUUCGCAACAUGUGGACUGAGCGAAUACAAGGAGCAAAACACAAUGUUGAGGUUUGGCAAGUACUUUUAGCUGUUAGAGCACUUGUGCUUCCACCUACUGAAGAUACGAAUAACUGGCUUAAGUUUGCUUCACUAUGUCGACAAAGUGUACGGAUUAGUCAAGCUAGGUCCACUCUAGUGAAGCUCUUACAGGUCGGUGGUGUAUAAUGGCUUUAUUGAGGUUGCUAUAUAGUAACGAGUUAGACGUUAGACGCUCUCUAUAGUAACGAGGAGAUCAAUGCUGUACGGGAUGAGUGGGCCGAAUUUGUGAAGCCUUUGAUUAUAGAUUAAGUACUUAAAGUUACUACACUUUUGUUAUAAUACAUGAGUAACAAGUUUUAGGAUUAUUGUUAUCUUUUGCAUAUGUUAUUAGUUUAUAUUUAGUUUACGAUAUACAUGGAAUUUAAGUUUUAGAAUCGAUUUUAUUAACAAUUUUGGUAUUGUGUGAUUAGUUAAUAGAAUCGAUUACUAAUUUUAUAUAAGUUUUAAAAAUAUUAUUUUAAUUUUUUUGUAUUAUGUAUUUACU